CCUACGGGAGGCAGCAGUAGGGAAUCUUCCGCAAUGGACGCAACCCUGAUGCAGCAACGCCGCGUGAGUGAAGAAGGUUUUCGGAUUGUAAAACUCUGUUGUCAGAGAAGAAGAAGGACUAUAGCAGCAGAGAAAGCCACGGCUAACUACGUGCAAGCAGCCGCGGCUAUACGUAGGUGGCAAGCGUUGUUCGGAAUGACUGGGCGUAAAGGAUGCGUAGGCGGUUCAACAAGUGAUAUGUGAAAUACAUAGGCUGAACCGGUAGAAAGCAUAUAAAACUGGGGAACUAGAGUGCAGGAGAGGUAAGUGGAAUUCCGUGUGUAGCGGUGAAAUGCGUAGAGAUUAGGAAGAACACCAGUGGCGAAGGCGACUCACUGGACUGUAACUGACGCUGAGGCAUGAGAGCAUGGGUAGCAAACAGGAUUAGAUACCCGUGUAGUC
rnacentral:rRNA from 1 species